ensembl:lncRNA
UGCUAAUACUACAUUAUUACACAAAUUGUACAGUUGUGUAACCAGGAAAAUUCAUUACAGUUUUUACAUGAAGUCUGUUUUGUUGAACUUUGAUCCACUGUUCACUGAUGGAGACUUGAGUGCAAAACUGUUUGUGGCAAUUGCAGUCCUAGCCAUCAUAUCAUAACUGUUCACAUGAAUUGAGUUAUGCUAUGAUAACUUAGGACUACAAUUGCUAUAUUGAAUACUUAUUAGCCUAUGUGUGAAUUUGACUUGAAGUAUGUGUCUUUUAAAACUGUCUUGCAAACACUUCAGGGAGGCAUAAUUAUGGAGAUGCAUGCUCUGGCGAUAAACUUGCCUUGCAUACAUUGGUGGCCAGAUGAUUCUGAUCUUGACUUUGUAGAUGAAUCCAGCUUUUCUUUCCAAUAUUAUUAUCACCCAAUUUCAUGAAUCAGUCUAUAAAUAAUGUGUGAGCCUCCAGACCUCCAGAGCCUCUAGUUUCCGUUGUGCCUGGUAUAAACCCUGUAGUGUUAUUUGAAAGUGGAAGACAGCAAUGUGAUCCUCAGUCCUUUACUUACCAAGGGCAUUAGACACAGGGGGCUCCAUUGUCUGGGCAGAGGUUAGCCUACUAGGUGGUGGACGUCAUGACCUAUAGACAAGCUGGUUUCCCAGCCAGCUGUGACAUGCCACUAUACGAUGAGUAUUGUGAUUGAGUGGUGUACCACACCAUCACUGGCAGUCUGAGCUGCUGCUGUCUGGGCCUUACCAUGCACUUUCUAAAGAUUGAAUACCUUAGCUGUGUUAAGCCUUAGCUGUGUUCUUCAUGACAUUGUUGGCAUCUAGAUGUUCCACACUACCUGGAUAUAACAGGAUAAAACAGAUGAGCAAAAAUUACUGUAUAAAAUGAACUAUUAUUAUAGACACCCCCUAGAAAAUUUCUUAAAUAGAUCCAAGCAAACUGUAAUUAUUGAAAAACUUCUCAGAAGUCUACAGGAACUUUUAACCAUUUUGUUGCCCUUAACCAUGUCCUGUUUUUUUCUGGGGCAUAAAGAUAAUGUUGUACACCCAUAAAACCCCUUUGUCAACAUGAUAAAAAACAAAUACUUCCAACAUGAAACAGAUGAUUGUUGACGGUUGUUAGCCUGCACAAAUCAGAUAAUGGAUACAAAAAGUACACAAGCAGUUAAAAGUAUCAUUAAGCCAAACCAAAUGACUGAAACAGUUGGAAAUUUGCCAGGAAUUUGAGCUCUCUGUCCAUCCUACAUACUGAGAGGGGUAGUGAAGCAAGAAAAAAACGAGCCCAAAUACCAGUAUUA